GUCCAAGUGCACUCUCAAUCCCAAAUGUACUUUUUUAUUAAGAAAACCUCUCAAAACAUGGAAGUUGGCUGAGAUAUUUUCUUCUCUCUCCCGUCCACGUACACAAACUGUAGCUUUUUAUAUCCAUCUCCAACAACAUAAACAGACGCCAUUCUUCCAUUUUACUUCCAGGGAAUUAUAAUCAGAUCCCUCCCUCUUCUCUGUCACUCUCCAUCUUCUUCGUUUUCUCUCCCCUACUGAUUAAAGAGCCAUCUUACUCAAGGGAAAUUGCCUACAAAUGGGCUUGGGUUGCAGAGGUGCUGAUUCAGAUAUUGGAUAAAAUAACUUGGAAUAUGUGAACGGGCAAAAUGCUUUGAUAUUCUCUUCCUUGUACUUUAAAGGAUCCUGACUGGUGUUGAACCACUGCAUUUACCGAGGAGUCCUGUCUGCUUAGAGCUUGUCUGCCGAGUUCUAUGCUAGACCUGGAAAAGGGAAAUGAGAUGCUGGAAGCUACUGCUGCUGACAUGGCAUUGGGUGAUAAUGUGCUGCUGAUGUGGCGAUGACGUGGCGAUGACGUGGCGAUGCACUACCGACGUGGCAGUGUGCGGUUGACAUGGCGAUGCUGUUGAUGUGGCAAUAUGACGCUGACGUGGCCGUGUGCUGCUGACAUGGCCGUGUGCUGCUGACGUGGCUAAGCGAGGUUUUUUUUUUUUUUCAGAACUGGGUUAUAAAACAAUUUUUUUUUUUCCAAAUCCGGGCUGUAAACAGAAAGAUUAAUUUUUUUUUCAAUUGUUGAUAAUGAUUCUACAUAGUUUCUAGGGUUUAGGAACUAUGUUGAAUUUUACGAAUUUUCACAAGCUCUAAGAGAUUGAUUAUCUGAAAAUACAAUUAAAAGUCUGUGCUCUGGUACCAAAGUUGAUGCGGGACAAAAUAGAUUUAAAGCUAAAGAAGAGAGAGAAGAAGAAGCUAAGAAGAUAAAGCGAAAGAAAGAUAGGAUAUAAAUACUACCUAACAAUAAAUAAAGUCUAAUAAAUAAACCUGAAUAAAAUCAAAUAACAUAAGGGUUGGACUAUCCUCCAUUAUCAUAGAUCAUACGAACAUGUGAACCAUGUCUUGGGUAUGUUGUCCCCAUCAGUUUUACUACAAGGAUUACGUAUUGUUAACUAUAAAUCAAGCUUUCUGAUUUGGUAACUAUACUUUAUCCCAUUGGAAAUUGGUAUCUUGUGCGAUUAGGUCAAUUGUUAUUAUUUUGUAAACUUCUUAUUCAUUGUCUUCUUUCAUGAAUUUCCAUUUAAAGAAUUGAAGAAUGUAUACUAUUACAGAAGAAAAGAGCAUAGAGAUCAGAACUUCCAAUCAAAUAAUGAUCAACAAACACACAAGUCUUUCACUUAGAUUUUUACGAAUCUUUCUCUCUAAGAAAAGCAUAUAUAGACACCACAUUUCAUUUAGCAGUUCAUUUCCAUUGAGCACAUUUAAAUUUUUUAGACAUCUAUUAACACCUGGCUCACAUUGAGCUUUUCAUUAUUGCAUAUUUGAUAUGGAUAGCUGGUCUGGCAAUUAUUUACACCAACCUUGAAAUUUAGUAUUAAACAUAUCAUACCAAAUAGGAUGGUCCUGCUGCCGAGCAUCUUUCACAUGAUGCUUGAGAUCUCAUUGUUAAGCUUGGAUCUGUGUGGUGGAUGAUGACUGAUAAGUGAUAAACAUCCACAGUUAUCAACUGCUUUAAUAUUGGAGUUGCAACCUUUUGCAAAUUUUGAAAAGAAUGUCGUCAGAUUUUUUGUUAAGUCAAAUGCUCUGAUAAAGAUUAGUAUACAAUUUCUCAUAUUGUGAAGAGAACUUACCCCAGUUUCAUUGAGCUUGCUGGUUCUUCACUGUUAUGAGGCUGAGGCUGGGGCUGGCUCAAUUGGAGACGGAUUGGGGCAUGCAAGUCAUAUCCAUUUUCUACUGUGUAGGGUGGCCGGGAAGCUCUAUUUGCUUCAUCCACAUUCCGUUCUCCAUAAACCUGGGAUAAGAAACUUCUAAUUUAGGCUUUUAGCAUGUUGAUGAAUGUUCACUUUCUAAAAUCUCAAGUUCAGGUUCCACAGGCCUUUUAGCUCACUGCUAUAUAGGUAUGGUUCCCAUACACUAGACUUGAAUUCUAGAUUUGUUGUGUAAGAGCUACCUGAUUGUAGGAGGGAAGCAUUCUAUGAAGAAUGUGUGUAUAAAUUCUUUGUAGGUUCCUUAUUUCGUGGUAAAAAGUGAAGUUCAGAGUUGAAUGGGGGAUGGAUAAAAUUUCUUAGUGAUACAUGUGUUGCCAAGACUAGUACCUUACGCAAUUCUGCAUUUUCUUGACAGAUGAGGUCAACCUUCUUAUGCAGUUCUAGGUUUUCUUGAUAAAUUAGAUUACCCUGCAAUGAAGCCAAUCAAAGCCAGUGAGCAUGAGAAUGUCUCUACAAUCAAUUUGGGAAAUAUUGGAGGCAAUAGUCCAGAAAACCUUUUGGCUCAUCUCUUUAAUUUCAUCUGUUAAAAUUUGUUCCUGUGUGCAAAAAAAGGCUGCAUUAGCAUCAAGUGCAUGCUGCAUACAUGUACAAAAAGUGAUCUUGAGAUCAGUAUAGGUUUACCUUUUUAAUUCGAACACCUUUCAUACUCUUCUCCAGCUGGUUUUCUAGAUUUUCUAGAUCUUUGAUGCUCAAACCAGAAAGUUCUUCUCCCAUCAAUUGCCUGCAACAUCUCAAGGCAAAUGUUAGGUAUGGUGCCUGAGUUUUAUGCUUGUCCAUGAAUAUAGUGUUAGAAAGAAAACUUGUCCAUGGAUGCAUAAAUCUAUUAGUUUUUCUCGUGGCAGAUGUGGCUACAACUGUGAUCCAUGAUGUGAAACAUAACAUGGCCUUAAAUUUUUUUAACCACAUAGCCUACACCAUUAUUUUAAGGCCAAUGGCGACGUGUUGUUGAGAUCCUCUAUUGAGAAUAUUCAGUGAUAAUUAACUUUACCGAUGAUAUUCUUUCAAGCACUGCAGUUCCUUCCCCAAGCUUGCUGCCUCCCUUUUCCACAACUAGUGAGCAGAAAAUGAAGCACAUCAUAUAACAAGCAAUAAUUUGGAGUAGAAUAGAAUUGAUGAGAGCUGCUUGAAGAAGUGAUUGCCUUAUAAAUCUGCAUGUUCAUGCUACAGUCUACAGAGAACACUUAAUGGGAUGGUCGUGUAUUCAGUUUUGCACAGAGGAAUUUUGUUUAUGAAUUUUGUAAAUGUUCCUGUAUGCCGACGUUACUAUUGUGUUUGGUUGCAGGAUAAAAUUAAAUUGAACAUGGCUUGGCAUAAUAGAAAAUCAUUGUGCAUAGCGCAUGCACAGACAGACUUGUGUAUAUAUCCUUUUGAGUUAAUGAAAUGUUGAGAUUGGUUCUUGCA